AGUGGAUUAGCGGCGGACGGGUGAGUAACACGUGGGUAACCUGCCUCAAAGCGGGGGAUAGCCUUCCGAAAGGAAGAUUAAUACCGCAUAAUAUAAGAGAAUCGCAUGAUUUUCUUAUCAAAGAUUUAUUGCUUUGAGAUGGACCCGCGGCGCAUUAGCUAGUUGGUAAGGUAACGGCUUACCAAGGCAACGAUGCGUAGCCGACCUGAGAGGGUGAUCGGCCACAUUGGAACUGAGACACGGUCCAGACUCCUACGGGAGGCAGCAGUGGGGAAUAUUGCGCAAUGGGGGAAACCCUGACGCAGCAACGCCGCGUGGGUGAUGAAGGUCUUCGGAUUGUAAAGCCCUGUUUUCUGGGACGAUAAUGACGGUACCAGAGGAGGAAGCCACGGCUAACUACGUGCCAGCAGCCGCGGUAAUACGUAGGUGGCGAGCGUUGUCCGGAUUUACUGGGCGUAAAGGGUGCGUAGGCGGAUGUUUAAGUGGGAUGUGAAAUCCCCGGGCUUAACCUGGGGGCUGCAUUCCAAACUGGAUAUCUAGAGUGCAGGAGAGGAAAGCGGAAUUCCUAGUGUAGCGGUGAAAUGCGUAGAGAUUAGGAAGAACACCAGUGGCGAAGGCGGCUUUCUGGACUGUAACUGACGCUGAGGCACGAAAGCGUGGGUAGCAAACAGGAUUAGAUACCCUGGUAGUCCACGCCGUAAACGAUGGAUACUAGGUGUAGGGGGUAUCAACUCCCCCUGUGCCGCAGUUAACACAAUAAGUAUCCCGCCUGGGGAGUACGGUCGCAAGAUUAAAACUCAAAGGAAUUGACGGGGGCCCGCACAAGCAGCGGAGCAUGUGGUUUAAUUCGAAGCAACGCGAAGAACCUUACCUGGACUUGACAUCCCUUGCAUAGCCUAGAGAUAGGUGAAGCCCUUCGGGGCAAGGAGACAGGUGGUGCAUGGUUGUCGUCAGCUCGUGUCGUGAGAUGUUAGGUUAAGUCCUGCAACGAGCGCAACCCUUGUUAUUAGUUGCUACCAUUAAGUUGAGCACUCUAAUGAGACUGCCUGGGUAACCAGGAGGAAGGUGGGGAUGACGUCAA
rnacentral:rRNA from 1 species